rnacentral:rRNA from 1 species
AGCGAACGCUGGCGGCAGGCCUAACACAUGCAAGUCGAACGAACUCUUCGGAGUUAGUGGCGGACGGGUGAGUAACACGUGGGAACGUGCCUUUAGGUUCGGAAUAACUCAGGGAAACUUGUGCUAAUACCGAAUGUGCCCUUCGGGGGAAAGAUUUAUCGCCUUUAGAGCGGCCCGCGUCUGAUUAGCUAGUUGGUGAGGUAAAGGCUCACCAAGGCGACGAUCAGUAGCUGGUCUGAGAGGAUGAUCAGCCACAUUGGGACUGAGACACGGCCCAAACUCCUACGGGAGGCAGCAGUGGGGAAUCUUGCGCAAUGGGCGAAAGCCUGACGCAGCCAUGCCGCGCGAAUGAUGAAGGUCUUAGGAUUGUAAAAUUCUUUCACCGGGGACGAUAAUGACGGUACCCGGAGAAGAAGCCCCGGCUAACUUCGUG